UACGUAGGGUCCGAGCGUUGUCCGGAGUUACUGGGCGUAAAGCGUAUGUAGGUGGCAUGACACGUCAAAUGUGAAAGCUGCUGGCUAAACCAGCAGAGUGCGUGUGAUACGGUCAGGCUAGAGGGUGAUAGAGGAGCGUAGAAUUCCGGGUGUAGUGGUGAAAUGCGUAGAGAUCCGGAGGAAUACCAGUGGCGCGAGGCGGCGCUCUGGGUCACACCUGACACUGAG
rnacentral:rRNA from 1 species